rnacentral:tRNA from 1 species
GCCCUGGUGGCGGAAUUGGUAUACGCGGCAGGUUGAGGGCCUGUGCCCAUUCGGGCGUGGAGGUUCGAGUCCUCUCCAGGGCACCA